rnacentral:lncRNA from 1 species
UGGUGGCCGGUGGUGAUUGAUCUUGCAGCACGUCUCGUCUUGUCUUCUCGGACACAUAUGUGAAGAAGAGAAGAAACACAUGUGAUGAGCAAGAGACAUGGAAGGAAGGGACACAACGAACAAGGUGAUGAAGAUGGUGUGAGAUGCUUGACGGCGUGUUAUCAAUACUAUUAAAUUAGGAACAUGUCUUAUUGAUAUAUGUUUAGUCCAACUUAAAAUCUA